rnacentral:rRNA from 1 species
GAUGAACGCUGGCGGCGUGCCUAAUACAUGCAAGUCGAGCGAACGGACGAGAAGCUUGCUUCUCUGAUGUUAGCGGCGGACGGGCGAGUAACAAGUGGAUAACCUACCUAUAUGACUGGGAUAACUUCGGGAAACAGGAGCUAAUACCGGAUAAUAUUUUGAACCGCAUGGUUCAAAAGUGAAAGACGGUCUUGCUGUCACUUAUAGAUGGAUCCGCGCUGCAUUAGCUAGUUGGUAAGGUAACGGCUUACCAAGGCAACGAUGCAUAGCCGACCUGAGAGGGUGAUCGGCCACACUGGAACUGAGACACGGUCCAGACUCCUACGGGAGGCAGCAGUAGGGAAUCUUCCGCAAUGGGCGAAAGCCUGACGGAGCAACGCCGCGUGAGUGAUGAAGGUCUUCGGAUCGUAAAACUCUGUUAUUAGGGAAGAACAUAUGUGUAAGUAACUGUGCACAUCUUGACGGUACCUAAUCAGAAAGCCACGGCUAACUACGUG